ACGUGAUCUAGAUCUUGAAUGAAGAAAUGAUCAUAGGAAAAACAUUGAACAGAGCAGUUAACAGCAUUUUUUUCUAACUUGAAACGUCAAUAAUAAUUUUAUUUCCGGAAAAAUAUCUCGAGAAAUUUUUUCUUUUCAAAUAAACCAAGAUAAAAUUGCUUACUCGACAUAAAAGGUUUUAUCCAGUCAAUAAUGUCUUGGAAAAUCAGUUAAUAGUAGGGUAACCUCAAUUCGGUGAUAAAAAUUUUAACAAUAUUUUUAGACGCUUCAGAUGAUACAAAUCUAUUUUGAUUGUGACAUCAUAAUGAACAAGAUUUCCUGAAUUUUAAAAACUCGAAUAUUAAUAAUUAACUCGAUGGUACAGCAGAGGCACUUUGAAAAAAAGUUGUCCACCAGUGUAAAAACAGUGUAAAAUCGAAAUUUAUUCAAGCAAUCCUUUUGAAAUUUGGCAUGGUACUUACACAAUUGACCAGGUGAUAAUCAGUGUUUUCGAUUCUAAAUGUCAACAACGGACAACAUUUUCUGAAGUGCCUCUGAAGAUGUGCUAUCGUUGAGUUAAUUAUUGGUGUUCGGGUUUAAAAAAUUCCAGAAAUAUUGUUAAUGUAUUGUAAUAUGAUGUCACAAUUAAUAAAAUUGAUCUAGUUUGUUAUAA